rnacentral:rRNA from 1 species
UACAGAGGUCUCAAGCGUUGUUCGGAUUCAUUGGGCGUAAAGGGUGUGUAGGUGGCGCGCUAAGUCGGGUGUGAAAUUUCGGAGCUUUACUCCGAAACUGCAUUCGAUACUGGCGUGCUUGAGGACUGGAGAGGAGACUGGAAUUUACGGUGUAGCAGUGAAAUGCGUAGAUAUCGUAAGGAAGACCAGUGGCGAAGGCGGGUCUCUGGACAGUUCCUGACACUGAGACACGAAGGCCAGGGGAGCAAACGGG